rnacentral:lncRNA from 1 species
UAAUGAUAAAAAAGUCAAAUAUAUUACACAAUAGUAUAUUGUUCAAUGAUAUUAUACAUAUGAUAUAAAACACACAGUGAAGGCCUUCAAACUUGUUCUUCGACUCUGUUUGUGUUCUAGAGUCUUGUCCCUAUAAUUAAGAGUAAAAAAAAAUAAUUACUUUGAUAACUUUCAUAAUAUAAUACUAAAAUAAAAGAAGUAAUAGAAGAUUGGCGAAAGCAUUUAAGAAAGCAAAUGACAUGAAUAUGACCGAUGAAAGUUGCACAAGAUAGUUUGAUCCUAGUAUACUAAGCUCAUCUCUAAUAAAUUCACAAAUAUAUUGCCUAGUAGGAUCAAAAUGGACCAACUAAAUAACUAAAGCCGAAUACCACAAACAUGAGAAUUGAAAGAGAACUAAGUUCAACAACAUAUCCAAUGUAACCCUAUAAGUGAGGUAUGAAGAAGGUAUUGUGUAUGCAGUCCAUAUCCCUACUUUGAAAGUAAAGAGAUUAUUUUCAAUAGAGAAUCACAUCAUGAACCACAUUAUUUGGACAAAGGAGUUCAUGCACAUAUUUUUGAUAGGUUGCAUAAAAAACUUUGUUAAUACACAAGACAAAAGGAAUUUCUAAUUAAAUCAAUAUUUCUUAUGAUAAUAAGUAUUGUAAUAAACCCCUAGAAGAAAUGUUAAUACAUCAGUUUACUCUCAUAUUACAUCAAUUAAACAAAAGACUAGGCACACAUGAGGUCUAGAAACAAACUUGAAUGCUUUCUAGAAAACACGUAGGGCAUCCGAGCUAUCCCAACAUAUAUAGAAUGAGCCAGUAACUUAAACUGUAAAGCACUAUCAUGUUUACUCACAUAUAUAGACUAAAUUAGUAACGUAAACUACAAUGAACUAUCAUGUUUGAAUUUAAAGUACUUCAGCAUAACACUAACAUGUAGAAUACAAGCAGUUUCACAAUAAGUAAUCUUGGCUUGCAGUCGACAAAAGGAAAGAAUUAAAAUUGUGAGAUAUAUUAAAUAGGAUUACCGAUCAGAUUAUGAAUUAGUAAGACUUUCUAAUUUAUUUAAUUAAGUUACCUUUUAUCUAAGCAAGACCACCAAACAAAUAAACAGCUAUAAGAAGGUCAUGAAGAGUAAAGUAAUAGAAAGUACCUUGAGGAACCUCUAGAUUAUGUGAUUUAAAUUAAGUCAAGAAAAAAAAAUUAAACUUACCUAACUUGAGUGCUACAGACCUGGUUAAAACUACUAAAAGCUAUUAAAGUAAAGAUCAAAGCCUAGAAUAGGCACAACCUAAUGAAAAAGUUUAGGCUGGAUGAUCUUCAAGAGACACAAGGGUCAAACCUUAUAUGUAAAAAAAUUCUAUAGGAUGCUAACAUUAUUUGUCCUAAAAGGUAGAUAACUUAAACAUUAUUCUAUAAAUGUUUUCUUUAAAUCUGUAUUCCCAACAAUACUAGUGAAUUUUCAUUCGCUUAGUACGCAUCUAAAUAAAGAUUUUCUGACUUAAUCGACUAGAUGAUAUUGUUUCAUCUAAAGUUGACUAGAUAACAAUAAUAAAAAAUCACCAAGAUUUAACUUAUUUCCCUUAGACUAAAUAAGAAAAAAAAUUAAGCUUAAGUGAAUGAAAGUCUAAACUAAUCUUGGCAUAAGAUAUUAACUUCACAUAUCCUUGUCACUCUAUAGAACCUCAAAUAUAAAAUGGACCUUUGAACCUCAAAACCCCACUGAAUUUGAUAUUGACUUUAGAUCCAAGGGGAUUGUGCAAGCAUCAGGUAAACUUAAGCAUUUAGAAAUAAUACUAAAUGCAAAAUUAUUACAGAGACAGAUAUAUUGGAAGACAAAAUAAAAGAAUCAGAACUUAUAUCUAUGGUGUCACAAUGUUCUCUUAGUCUGUAUACAAAUUUAUACUACUAAAGAUCAAGGAAAUAUACAAUUCAUGUGUUUCAAACAACAGAGUACGAUCCUAGAUGUCAAUGAAAAAGGUAUAUAAGUAAUAAGAUGCAUCAUUUAUUGUCAAAUCUUCAAAAACUAUUAAUGUUGCUUAAUUUUUCGUUUCAACUUGGAAUAUCCUAAAAUAGUCAAGAAGAAUUCGAAUAUCCCUAAAAUAUCAUGAAUAAUUAGAUUGGUCGGCAUCGUCUUCUUACCAAUAAUAUUAAGUUAAUUUAAUAUAUUUGAACAUAAUCAAGGUGAUAAGUGAUAAACCAAUGUUAUUAUUAAUAUAACUCCUACAUCUAUGACAUCAUCACAACCGUAGGAAAAGAGGAAUUGACUUACUUGAAUCAAUUGUCUCUGCAUCAUGAAGGAACAUAAGGAUAAAAGAUUUCCCUAUCUCAAGUGGCAAAAGGUGGAGGAUUUGUGGCUUAGGUCGCAGGUUCAAGCCCCAUUAUCCACCGAGUUUAGAAGGCUGUGAUUGGUCCAAAGGGUGGGUCACAGACGGAUUUCUCGGUUAUUAAAAAAAACAAAAAAAAAAGAUUUCCCUAUAACCAAAUUAGAAAAAUUAUGAGAUGUUAAUUGGCUAAUCAAGGAAAGUACUUCCACUACUUAGAAAACAUCUGGAGAUCCCUACGAAUGCAAAUAUUCUUUUCCACUCUCUGUACUAUAUAUUCAAUCCACUCGAUCUUUUGAAAAUAAUUCUCAAAUUUAUAAGAACAAGCUUCUCCAUCAAAACUUGAACAUUCAAGAUUUUGCAGCAAUAAUAUAUUAGAUGUCAUUGCUCUGUGGAGACGAUAGUGAAUCAAUGUAGGAGAUUAUAGGGGAUAAAACAUAUUAUAUUUAUUUUUAUUUGAUUGAAUAAACCAUAAUUAUUUCCACCAUAUGUAGUGACUAUAGUUUAGCUAAUAGAACUUAAUAAGAAAUGAAACUUUUUAUCAACUCAUCUAUUUCAAAUCUCAUUUUGCACUAGCCUUACUGAGAGGUACUUCUACUCAUUCUUGGAGCCUUGGGUAAGAAAUUCUACAUAUUCCACACUGAAAUUACUUGGUUGAUUGGUAUUGCAUUGAGAAUACUAGAUAUUUAUUUUUUGUCCAUAUUCACCUUUAGUCUAUAAAUACUAAUCCUUUUACCUCUAGAAAGAAAAAGAGAAUUACUUUAAUAAAUUACUUAGAUGCACAACAUAAGACAACCUUUCAUUAGCUUUUUAAGUAAUAUAUUAAGUCUGAGUUCACCAAAAUAAUACACUUGAUACCUAUGGAUAUAAUCAGAACUCUUAAAAAGUGAAUGAUUAGGUGGUCUAAUUUUCACUAGCAAGCAGUAACAUGAAAGUUUAGAUAUUAAAACAUAUAAUCUUCAUGGUAUCUUAAAUAAGAAUGUACUUUCAUAGAGUUCAGAUAAAAACAGACCAAUCAAGAUUGUUGUUUAACUCAUAGAGUUUGUUUUCAAUCCAAUUAAUAGCUUAUUCAUGGUGUUUUACUAAAGAAUGGUUAUUAAGUCAUGGGAAAAAAUUGAAGUCAAACUCAACUUUCAAAUACAAAUAGCAUCAUCAGGAACAACCACAAAUUGUAUUAGUACAGUCUCUUAGGUAGAACAGAAACAAAGAAUAUAUCAGCUAAAUCAGAACAAGAUGGAUCCUCCAAGGAUAAGAUAUCCAUGGACAUAAUCUUUACUCAAAAUAAAAAUACUUUAAGAACACAGAACUUACACAGAUUCUAACACAUUAGAAUAGACAAAAUUACAUCAGUGAAUACAAACAGAGAAUCAAAAGCUUACCUUUUCAGGCCUGUAGUGAACUAGGGCAUUGAGAACGCCUUCAAUACUACUUCAGUAUGUUCAAAUCAAACACUUGCUUCCGAUUGAAUAAGAAUUUGAGAUCUAAAAUUUAGUAGAGCUUGGAUGUUUUUUGGUUAGAUUUGAGAGAAAAGAAUGAAGAGGAGAAAUAUUAAAGAGGAACAAGAGGAGUGAGAAACGUAGAGAGGAAAUCGCCGUAGAAUAAUUU